rnacentral:rRNA from 1 species
UACGUAGGGGGCAAGCGUUGUCCGGAUUUAUUGGGCGUAAAGCGCUCGCAGGUGGUUCGAUGCGUCGUGCGUGAAAGACCCCGGCUCAACUUGGGAACUGCGUCUGAUACUGGAUGGCUUGAAUUCGGGAGAGGGAUGCAGAAUUCCAGGUGUAGCGGUGAAAUGCGUAGAUAUCUGGAGGAAUACCGGUGGCGAAGGCGGCAUCCUGGACCGAGAUUGACACUGAUGAGCGAAAGCUAGGGGAGCAAACGGG